UAUUGGAGCCUUGUUCACUGGCUCAUGGUUUGUAUUGGAGCCUUGUUCUGUGGCUCAUGGUUUGUAUUGGAGCCUUGUUCACUGGCUCAUGGUUUGUAUUGGAGCCUUGUUCACUGGCUCAUGGUUUGUAUUGGAGCCUUGUCUUGCAACAAGCAGUUCAUAUUUUAGCCUCGUUCAAUGGCUGUGGGUAAGAACCUUCAAAUAAUUUGGUAAAUUCGUGGUUAUAUGGGAUGUAACUGUGCUCUCAUUGUUCUUUCCUAGACGAAUCGCCACAUCACUUGAUGCUGGACCAUGGCGGGAGAAAACUGGCAGUGACUUUGAUGUACACAUCUAAUUGUCAUAGCCAACUUCAUUUAUUUCAAAAUCUAAAUUGACGUGAUGCUGUGUUUUUGAGGGCUUUCCUCAACAAACCUCCUCCAACCACUGUGGAGUCAUGAUGCUGAUGGUCAACAUGUCCUUGCAUAUUUAUCUCAUCCAUUCUCUCAAUGUAAACAGCUGUUUUUAUUUGACAGUACGCUCUCUGCAUUUGCACCGACCGUCCAGUUCACUUUUCUGAGAGUGGCACGGUGUCUGUCCGCAAGUGGUGGUGUGUGCAGCUAAUGGAGAGGUUCUCCAUCGAAGGGCCUGGUCAGCGAUUUGCCUUCUGGACCCAGGAGGCUAAAGAACUGCUCCAUGGUGGACUUGAGCCUCUUCUUCGGCUGAAGGGCCUGGAACAAUCCACUUUUGGUUUUCCCUGCACUUGAAUAACACCAGUACUAGCAAUAGUAUCUUGUGUUUUGGGGUGAUGGCAAUAUGUGCUAUUUGACCUUGCUGCAGGAUCAGUCGACAAGCGUGCAGGAUCUCUCCCUGGCUGUGCAGUGGAGAGAUGAAAACCCAGGUGUCUUCAAGAGUCAGUGGAGGGAGGGUGCCCGCAUUCCAUGGUAUGACAGAGCAGGAGCAGGAGGAGGCUGUGAGGCGUCUGCUGGAGGACAAUGGAGAUGGCACUGAUGCCAGGGAGCCUUUCAUGUUCGUUUGUGACCACAUGGAAACCUUUAUGAAUGAAUGAAUGUCGUGAUCAGAGAGACCUGAGAGUGAAUGUGUUGCAGAUAAUGGUGAGUAGAUGAAGGUCUGUUUUGUCUGGUGAACUGUUCGGCCAUUUGUUAAUAAUGGUGUGUUUUCAUGUUUUGUAUAUAAAAUAAGUUUAGUCAUUUAUAAAUAAUGUUGGUGUGUUUUCAU